rnacentral:sRNA from 1 species
GCCAGGUAUGGUGGUGCAUGCCUGUAAUUCCAACAACUUGGGAGGCUGAAGCAGGAGGAUCACAUGUUUGAGACCAGCUUUGGCAAUUUAACAAGAUCAUUUCAAAAAAGUGGGGGUGGGACUGGCAGAGCGCUUGUGUGAUGUGUGAGGUCCUGGUUUGU